UCAUGGGCUGGCGUAACGUUGCGCGCGGGCUGCAGCCCGGCGUUAAGCACGAUUUUUAAGCCGCAGGGCAGCGCCGUUCCGUCGCUCAUCGU
rnacentral:tRNA from 3 species